rnacentral:lncRNA from 1 species
AUUUUCUAGAAAACUGACCAAACCGUUAUUUUCUUAAUUGAACCAAUUGGUCAUAUAUCGGUUACUCAGUAUCUUUGUCGUAAAUUGCUACUUGAUUGCUUUGCAAGAAUAACUAUAUCUUCUCUUUGAUGAAUAUCUAGUGGGUGAAUUUGACAUCUUUUUAUGAUUUAAGGGGCAUGUCAGGUGUUUGCAAUUUGUUCUUGAUUUCUUGAUAUUCUAAUUUUUAUUUCGAACCACUUUCCCGGAAAUAUUUACUGUCUAUCAAUGCGCAUUACGCGUACAAUC